rnacentral:tRNA from 1 species
CAGAGGUUAGUUUAAAUUAAAAUGUAAAUUUUGGGGAUUUAAGAUGGGGGUGUCUCUAUCUCUGA